UACGUAGGGACCAAGCGUUGUUCGGAUUUACUGGGCGUAAAGAGCGCGCAGGCGGUCGGAUAAGUCGAAUGUGAAAGCCCCCGGCUCAACUGGGGAGGGUCAUUCGAUACUGUUCGACUCGAAGGCAGGAGAGGGAAGUGGAAUUCCCGGUGUAGUGGUGAAAUGCGUAGAUACCGGGAGGAACACCAGUGGCGAAGGCGACUUCCUGGCCUGUUCUUGACGCUGAGGCGCGAAAGCUAGGGGAGCAAACGGG
rnacentral:rRNA from 1 species